GUCGAGAAUAAUUCACAAUGGACGAAAGUCUGAUGGUGCAACGCCGCGUGGAGGAUGACGGUCUUCGGAUUGUAAACUCCUGUCAUCCGGGAGUAAGACCUGGCUGUGAAUAGCAGACAGGGUUGAUAGUACCGGAAGAGGAAGGGACGGCUAACUUCGUGCCAGCAGCCGCGGUAAUACGAAGGUCCCGAGCGUUGUUCGGAAUCACUGGGCGUAAAGGGAGCGUAGGCGGUGUGGUAAGUCAGAUGUGAAAUCCCGGGGCUCAACCCCGGAACUGCAUCCGAUACUGCCGUGCUAGAGGAUUGGAGAGGUAGCUGGAAUUCUUGGUGUAGCAGUGAAAUGCGUGGAGAUCAAGAGGAACACUCGUGGCGAAAGCGAGCUACUGGACAAUAUCUGACGCUGAGGCUCGAAGGCCAGGGUAGCGAAAGGGAUUAGAUACCCCAGUAGUCC
rnacentral:rRNA from 1 species